rnacentral:lncRNA from 1 species
UUUGCUGUCAUCUUAAUCUUUGCAACUCGUUAGUUUCUUCCUAUGCAGCUCUUUUAUUUCCUUUGGUAUAAAUAUUAUGUUUUUGUUUAAUUUAACACAAGGGAAUUUUUGCUGCAGACUCAGAGAUGAUGGCGGAGGCAAGAGGACCUGUUAUUUCGUGUAGAUGCAGCAAAACCGAAGACUGUCAGGGUAUUUGCGCCGUGUGCCCCAACUAUAGCUGCAUUAAUAACCUUUGUACUUGCCUUUCAAACGCACCUCCAUUUCCAUAGUCUUAGAAUCUACACACUCCAACAGUUGAAUGAAAUGGUGGGAUUUUUUUGUGUAAUUUGAAAUAAAUUAUCAUGCAAUGGAUCUAAUAAGAAAAAAUAUUGUAAUUAUUGUAAUUUUAAUUUUCUUUUUACCCUUCUCUGCGCCUCCCCUCCCCCUUUCUAGUAACGAAAAGUAUGUUACAUUUCAAAUAUAUAAAAAGAGUUACAAUCUUGUUUUAAAACUAAAAGAAAUAACAGUAAGAACAAAAGAUAGGAGAAAAAUUAAGACACAAAAUGAGAUGAUAAUUCUUCUUUCUACUUGUAUCUCAUAAGCUUGUAUAUGGCUUCAAUCUAUAGGGCUUCAACAAUGAUAGGCUAAAAAUAAUAUAAAUAGGAAUUUCAAAACUCGCAAUAACUUGAAUGGGUAUUUCAUAAGUUUCAAAUUCCACCGUAUUCUUUUGGUGGGGACACUUUGUUAAUUUAUUAACAACACUAUGCACUAGAUGUGUAUCGAAUGGAAACGAGCUCUGUUAAAACUUUAUUAGAAAAAAUUGCAUAAGCACCUAUAAUAAGCUAAAACAUUAAAGACAUUUCAUGGGAAAACUUAGCUGGACAAUACCUUGGGUAAAGGAAAGAGUAAACAUGUUUUAGACUCCCCCUAAUUUUAAAAAUAUUGAAACAUGGUACAAAUUUUGAAACAAUUUUUUGUUGCUAACUACUUCGUCAAGGAGAAUCAUACUAUGAAGACAUGCCUUUUUAAUUACAAUGAUAACCAUUGAGUUUCAUUGUAUACUCUAGGUUCAUUUGCCAAUAACUCUUUUGCACAUCAUAAUAUAGGUGGGGGCGAAUAAAACUUUAAAUUAAGCGACAUUAAUACAUGCAUUAAAGCCUCCAUUAAUUUCUUAGAAGUUUAUUUUUAUGUCCACAAUCAACAUUUUUCUUAUGCGGACAUGAGACCUUGCUAUUGCAUAUGACUUAAGGAAAACUGUAUAUUAAAUUUAGCCUCGUGGCUUUGGAGAUUUCUACAUCCUAUCUCUCUUUCUUACUCCGUUUCAAGGAUGUUCAUGUAGACCACCUGAUAGAUAGUUGUAUGGUUUCUUUAUUCUUAUUGAAACACAUAUCGAGUCUUUCUUGACAUCACUGUGACUUUAAUAGUCAUUACCAAUAUGGUUUGACUCUUGCAGGUUUUGAGUACAUUGGCGUGUCAUUCGGCCCAAUUAAAGGCUAUUAUUGUUGUUUCAAUUUGAGAUCGCUCUCUUCUAGUUUUUCUUCUUCUUUUCUCAUUUUGGUUUCCUACCCUUUAUAUGCUUGUUGUAGUAUUUUUCCUUAAGUUAAUUUUGGAAAUACAUAGAAUCUAUUGAAUGGAGUGCCAUUAAUCUUAUCAACAUUAUAUCUCAUCAUCUUCUUGCUUGUUUUUAGGAUCUUCAUGGCCAUGGUUAGACAAGAGUUUAUCUAUCUUGUAACACUUAUUUUGGGACAUGCAAUGUGCACAUUUUCUAUAAGUCCUACACUUUUACCAGUUGUUUCAAUGAGGCCAUCUUUAGGUAUUUCCCCCUCUAUUUAUUUCAUUAGUCAAAUUGGAUGUACUUUUAUGAACUUAAAUCAAACAAUCACUUUUUGCGUUUUUGUAACCUCUCUUUUCAGGUCUGAUAACAUCGAUCAAGAAGUUGAGCUCCUCCAUGGAUAGCCUUGGUUGUUUGUUUCCAUUUAUUCACAAUCUCUUGCAACAAAUUUUGACAUUUUAACUGUAGUGAUAGUUUUAUUAGCCUUGUAGCGAGCCCAAGAUACCAACUGCUCCCACCCAUGAUUUUGAAUUUUAAAUACUUUAUUUAAAUGAUUUUGAUGUUUAGAAAUUUAAAAAAUAAACUAAUUUUCUUUUAGGUGAGAAUUAACCCAAAAUUGGUAUUGCCUAUCCAUGAACCUCUUACCUCAAGUUGGUCUGGACUGUGAGGUCGAAAGAUAAGUAGUUGUUGCCAACUCAUUAGUUUAGUGGAAGAUCGAGAGAUCCUACUAGGUUAGCGACUAAUUGAUUGAGUAGAACCAAAAAUAGGAUUUAGUUAUGACCACUGAAGCGAGCUAAUCACUCAUGCUUAGAUUUUAUUGAAUCACAUAUUACUUCUCCAUCUUUUUUAUUUUAUGCAAGCUUAUUUCUUUUCUUAUAAAAACAACUAUUUUUCACUUUAUGAUCAUCGUACUAUAAUUUAUUUAAGUUACUAAUUAGAUCUAUUUGCGUUUAGGUUAAUAUUAAUUUAGUACUUGUCUCCCUUGGGUACGAUCCUCGAGUACUCACCUACUUCGUUGUAAAACUAUAUUACAGCCUGACUCGUAUACUUGAGGACACCGCCUCAAUUCAAUAUAUACUUUUAGCAAUAUUCACACUCUGGAUUCUAGUACGUCCGAAGGCGGUCACUUUCCAAAGUGGCGCGUAGUUUAUCUGCAAAUCAGUGGUGGCUCGUCUACAAUCCGGAGUGAUAUGUUAGACGAGUUCUGGGGAAUUCAUACGUGAGGUGUGUAGCGGAGUUGGGUAGGACUUUUCUGUUAAUUUGAAACUUCAAUGCAUUCAUAAGCACGUGCAUAUAAAAUUGUGAAUACCAAUAUAGUGAAGUGAAGCGUUUUAUGUGAAAAACAGUUAAUCUGAGGUGCUUUGUGGUUGUCUUUAAUCUCAAGAUUGCUAAUUCAUGUGCCUUAUUGGUUUGUUGUUUUAUUUUGAUUUUCUUGUGACUGAACUCACAUUGAGCUUCAUAGCUCACUGCCCUUUAGUUCCCAUCCUUAUAGAUAACCCACCAGGUUGGGAUGCGACAUAUGGAGGGUCGAAAAAGUUUUAAUGUUAUGAAAGUGUUGUUAUGCUUAUUUUAAAAUUUAUGAUAUUUCGGAACUGUACUGUAUUGUUUAUUUUCUAGCAUUGGAUUCAUAUUUAGGUUUUGGUUUUAUAUUGCAAGCAUGACAUAUAAAUUGUUGUUUUUAAGAUGAUGAAAUAAGGAUUUCAAUUAAAUAUGCAUGAAAUAUAGAUGUUAGUAAAACUCAUGAAAAGCCAUUUUUCCGCUGAAAGGUCAUAAUAAAAUUUUAUCUAAUAACUACAAUAUAACUAUGUUUCCAAUAGUUAUCACAUUUUACAAGAAAAAUAUUAGUUUAAUUGUAUUUUAUAUACCCAUGAUUUGUUUUCUAAAAAUAGACACAGUCUUUGUAAGGAUAAAAAAAUAUUUUAAUGUGACUAUUUAAAAUCUUCGAUUGCACUAGGCCAUCACGGUGGCCGAUGUAAUCUCCCGAACUCGGGCCUACCGUCUAGGCCAAUUUGGGGAGGUUACAAUUUCAAUGCCAUAAAGUACUAAAACCAUAUUUUCAAUCAUCUUCAGCAUAGAUUAUUUCAUGUUGAUAUGAGUUGAAUUAAAAUAUUUAAUUUGAACUUAUAAAUUUGUCAUAUUUAAGGGGAAAAAAAGUGGUUUUUACUUCAAACAAAAAGAAGAGAUAAAUUGUUACCAACUAAAUUGAUGAACAAGAAUUUGAUAUGAUAUAUACGUGAAUACAAUAAAAAUACAUUAAUUGCGCUACAAUUGUGUAUAAUAUCCUUUUUAUUUAGUUAUAUUGUGUUUGUACAAAAUUUGUAAAGAUAAAAUACUAUGCAUCAAAUAUGUUCAAUUCUAAUUCUAAUUCUAAUUCUAAUUCUAAUUCUAAUUCCAGUUCCAAUUUGAGUUUGAACUUGAUUUGGAACACAAAAAUUGAGCAUGAUGCCAAGUAUGAGAAUCCAACUCAAGUCUUAUCAAAUAAACAAGCCUAAAUAAAUCUAGUAAAGCUAAUUAAAGCAGUUUAAUCUUUAUCUCGUAUCAAGUUUAUAUUUUAAAAGUUAAACUCAAUGAAGUUAUAUUGGAGCAUUCAAUUCUCUAGGUUUCUUUGGAGAUUGAGAUUGAAUUUCUUGGCUCAGUUCAACCCCAUUAAAUAACUUUAAAUUUUUUAUUUUGAUACAAUAGUUAAUAUUGUUUCCAAACUCAUAUAACUGGUUGUGUAGGAAGGGGUCAGGUUUUUUUGUGUGCUUUCUCUCACUACUAUCUCCAAAAUUUUAAUGCUUUUAGUAUUUUAAUAUUUGAAAAUUAUUAAAAAAUUUGUCUAGCAAGAAAAAUAUAAUUUAAUCUUUUCUUCUCCUAGACCACAAAUAAAAAAAAUUGGAACAUAUUUCCCAUUUGUUUUUAAACGGUUGGACUAAUAAUCAACUUAUUGGCAUCAUGCAUUCCAGAUUUGGUAACAUUAAUUUCCAUGACUACACUUAGAACAAAAUAAUGAUAAUUAGUAAACAAAAUCCACAUCAAUCUUCUCAAGGAUGUUUUGCUGAUAUACUUUCCUUUUAGACAUAGUUUCAUAAGGAAAAAAAUAAAAACGUAAUAAUCUCAAAGAAUCCAAAGAAAUUAGUAUUCCUCCAUGCAACACAAAAUAAGAUACUAUAUAUAUUAAAUCCAUAAGCUAUAAAUUUCCACCAACAUAGUUAAUUAGAUAUAAAGAGAUGGCAAAGUUUUCAUUCAAUUUGUUUAUAUUUGCUGUCAUCUUAAUCUUUGCAACUCGUUAGUUUCUUCCUAUGCAGCUCUUUUAUUUCCUUUGGUAUAAAUAUUAUGUUUUUGUUUAAUUUAACACAAGGGAAUUUUUGCUGCAGACUCAGAGAUGAUGGCGGAGGCAAGAGGACCUGUUAUUUCGUGUAGAUGCAGCAAAACCGAAGACUGUCAGGGUAUUUGCGCCGUGUGCCCCAACUAUAGCUGCAUUAAUAACCUUUGUACUUGCCUUUCAAACGCACCUCCAUUUCCAUAGUCUUAGAAUCUACACACUCCAACAGUUGAAUGAAAUGGUGGGAUUUUUUUGUGUAAUUUGAAAUAAAUUAUCAUGCAAUGGAUCUAAUAAGAAAAAAUAUUGUAAUUAUUGUAAUUUUAAUUUUCUUUUUACCCUUCUCUGCGCCUCCCCUCCCCCUUUCUAGUAGCGAAAAGUAUGUUACAUUUCAAAUAUAUAAAAAGAGUUACAAUCUUGUUUUAAAACUAAAAGAAAUAACAGUAAGAACAAAAGAUAGGAGAAAAAUUAAGACACAAAAUGAGAUGAUAAUUCUUCUUUCUACUUGUAUCUCAUAAGCUUGUAUAUGGCUUCAAUCUAUAGGGCUUCAACAAUGAUAGGCUAAAAAUAAUAUAAAUAGGAAUUUCAAAACUCGCAAUAACUUGAAUGGGUAUUUCAUAAGUUUCAAAUUCCACCGUAUUCUUUUGGUGGGGACACUUUGUUAAUUUAUUAACAACACUAUGCACUAGAUGUGUAUCGAAUGGAAACGAGCUCUGUUAAAACUUUAUUAGAAAAAAUUGCAUAAGCACCUAUAAUAAGCUAAAACAUUAAAGACAUUUCAUGGGAAAACUUAGCUGGACAAUACCUUGGGUAAAGGAAAGAGUAAACAUGUUUUAGACUCCCCCUAAUUUUAAAAAUAUUGAAACAUGGUACAAAUUUUGAAACAAUUUUUUGUUGCUAAAUACUUCGUCAAGGAGAAUCAUACUAUGAAGACAUGCCUUUUUAAUUACAAUGAUAACCAUUGAGUUUCAUUGUAUACUCUAGGUUCAUUUGCCAAUAACUCUUUUGCACAUCAUAAUAUAGGUGGGGGCGAAUAAAACUUUAAAUUAAGCGACAUUAAUACAUGCAUUAAAGCCUCCAUUAAUUUCUUAGAAGUUUAUUUUUAUGUCCACAAUCAACAUUUUUCUUAUGCGGACAUGAGACCUUGCUAUUGCAUAUGACUUAAGGAAAACUGUAUAUUAAAUUUAGCCUCGUGGCUUUGGAGAUUUCUACAUUCUAUCUCUCUUUCUUACUCCGUUUCAAGGAUGUUCAUGUAGACCACCUGAUAGAUAGUUGUAUGGUUUCUUUAUUCUUAUUGAAACACAUAUCGAGUCUUUCUUGACAUCACUGUGACUUUAAUAGUCAUUACCAAUAUGGUUUGACUCUUGCAGGUUUUAAGUACAUUGGCGUGUCAUUCGGCCCAAUUAAAGGCUAUUAUUGUUGUUUCAAUUUGAGAUCGCUCUCUUCUAGUUUUUCUUCUUCUUUUCUCAUUUUGGUUUCCUACCCUUUAUAUGCUUGUUGUAGUAUUUUUCCUUAAGUUAAUUUUGGAAAUACAUAGAAUCUAUUGAAUGGAGUGCCAUUAAUCUUAUCAACAUUAUAUCUCAUCAUCUUCUUGCUUGUUUUUAGGAUCUUCAUGGCCAUGGUUAGACAAGAGUUUAUCUAUCUUGUAACACUUAUUUUGGGACAUGCAAUGUGCACAUUUUCUAUAAGUCCUACACUUUUACCAGUUGUUUCAAUGAGGCCAUCUUUAGGUAUUUCCCCCUCUAUUUAUUUCAUUAGUCAAAUUGGAUGUACUUUUAUGAACUUAAAUCAAACAAUCACUUUUUGCGUUUUUGUAACCUCUCUUUUCAGGUCUGAUAACAUCGAUCAAGAAGUUGAGCUCCUCCAUGGAUAGCCUUGGUUGUUUGUUUCCAUUUAUUCACAAUCUCUUGCAACAAAUUUUGACAUUUUAACUGUAGUGAUAGUUUUAUUAGCCUUGUAGCGAGCCCAAGAUACCAACUGCUCCCACCCAUGAUUUUGAAUUUUAAAUACUUUAUUUAAAUGAUUUUGAUGUUUAGAAAUUUAAAAAAUAAACUAAUUUUCUUUUAGGUGAGAAUUAACCCAAAAUUGGUAUUGCCUAUCCAUGAACCUCUUACCUCAAGUUGGUCUGGACUGUGAGGUCGAAAGAUAAGUAGUUGUUGCCAACUCAUUAGUUUAGUGGAAGAUCGAGAGAUCCUACUAGGUUAGCGACUAAUUGAUUGAGUAGAACCAAAAAUAGGAUUUAGUUAUGACCACUGAAGCGAGCUAAUCACUCAUGCUUAGAUUUUAUUGAAUCACAUAUUACUUCUCCAUCUUUUUUAUUUUAUGCAAGCUUAUUUCUUUUCUUAUAAAAACAACUAUUUUUCACUUUAUGAUCAUCGUACUAUAAUUUAUUUAAGUUACUAAUUAGAUCUAUUUGCGUUUAGGUUAAUAUUAAUUUAGUACUUGUCUCCCUUGGGUACGAUCCUCGAGUACUCACCUACUUCGUUGUAAAACUAUAUUACAGCCUGACUCGUAUACUUGAGGACACCGCCUCAAUUCAAUAUAUACUUUUAGCAAUAUUCACACUCUGGAUUCUAGUACGUCCGAAGGCGGUCACUUUCCAAAGUGGCGCGUAGUUUAUCUGCAAAUCAGUGGUGGCUCGUCUACAAUCCGGAGUGAUAUGUUAGACGAGUUCUGGGGAAUUCAUACGUGAGGUGUGUAGCGGAGUUGGGUAGGACUUUUCUGUUAAUUUGAAACUUCAAUGCAUUCAUAAGCACGUGCAUAUAAAAUUGUGAAUACCAAUAUAGUGAAGUGAAGCGUUUUAUGUGAAAAACAGUUAAUCUGAGGUGCUUUGUGGUUGUCUUUAAUCUCAGGAUUGCUAAUUCAUGUGCCUUAUUGGUUUGUUGUUUUAUUUUGAUUUUCUUGUGACUGAACUCACAUUGAGCUUCAUAGCUCACUGCCCUUUAGUUCCCAUCCUUAUAGAUAACCCACCAGGUUGGGAUGCGACAUAUGGAGGGUCGAAAAAGUUUUAAUGUUAUGAAAGUAUUGUUAUGCUUAUUUUAAAAUUUAUGUUAUUUCGGAACUGUACUGUAUUAUUUAUUUUCUGGCAUUGGAUUCAUAUUUAGGUUUUGGUUUUAUAUUGUAAGCAUGACAUAUAAAUUGUUGUUUUUAAGAUGAUGAAAUAAGGAUUUCAAUUAAAUAUGCAUGAAAUAUAGAUGUUAGUAAAACUCAUGAAAAGCCAUUUUUCCGCUGAAAGGUCAUGAUUAAAUUUUGUCUAAUAACUACAAUAUAACUAUGUUUCCAAUAGUUAUCACAUUUUACAAGAAAAAUAUUAGUUUAAUUGUAUUUUAUAUACCCAUGAUUUGUUUUCUAAAAAUAGACACAGUCUUUGUAAGGAUAAAAAAAUAUUUUAAUGUGACUAUAUAAAAUCUUCGAUUGCACUAGGCCAUCACGGUGGCCGAUGUAAUCUCCCGAACUCGGGCCUACCGUCUAGGCCAAUUUGGGGAGGUUACAAUUUCAAUGCCAUAAAGUACUAAAACCAUAUUUUCAAUCAUCUUCAGCAUAGAUUAUUUCAUGUUGAUAUGAGUUGAAUUAAAAUAUUUAAUUUGAACUUAUAAAUUUGUCAUAUUUAAGGGGAAAAAAAGUGGUUUUACUUCAAACAAAAAGAAGAGAUAAAUUGUUACCAACUAAAUUGAUGAACAAGAAUUUGAUAUGAUAUAUACGUGAAUACAAUAAAAAUACAUUAAUUGCGCUACAAUUGUGUAUAAUAUCGUUUUUAUUUAGUUAUAUUGUGUUUGUACAAAAUUUGUAAAGAUAAAAUACUAUGCAUCAAAUAUGUUCAAUUCUAAUUCUAAUUCUAAUUCUAAUUCUAAUUCUAAUUCUAAUUCCAGUUCCAAUUUGAGUUUGAACUUGAUUUGGAACACAAAAAUUGAGCAUGAUGCCAAGUAUGAGAAUCCAACUCAAGUCUUAUCAAAUAAACAAGCCUAAAUAAAUCUAGUAAAGCUAAUUAAAGCAGUUUAAUCUUUAUCUCGUAUCAAGUUUAUAUUUUAAAAGUUAAACUCAAUGAAGUUAUAUUGGAGCAUUCAAUUCUCUAGGUUUCUUUGGAGAUUGAGAUUGAAUUUCUUGGCUCAGUUCAACCCCAUUAAAUAACUUUAAAUUUUUUAUUUUGAUACAAUAGUUAAUAUUGUUUCCAAACUCAUAUAACUGGUUGUGUAGGAAGGGGUCAGGUUUUUUUGUGUGCUUUCUCUCACUACUAUCUCCAAAAUUUUAAUGCUUUUAGUAUUUUAAUAUUUGAAAAUUAUUAAAAAAUUUGUCUAGCAAGAAAAAUAUAAUUUAAUCUUUUCUUCUCCUAGACCACAAAUAAAAAAAAUUGGAACAUAUUUCCCAUUUGUUUCUAAACGGUUGGACUAAUAAUCAACUUAUUGGCAUCAUGCAUUCCAGAUUUGGUAACAUUAAUUUCCAUGACUACACUUAGAACAAAAUAAUGAUAAUUAGUAAACAAAAUCCCCAUCAAUCUUCUCAAGGAUGUUUUGCUGAUAUACUUUCCUUUUAGACAUAGUUUCAUAAGGAAAAAAAUAAAAACGUAAUAAUCUCAAAGAAUCCAAAGAAAUUAGUAUUCCUCCAUGCAACACAAAAUAAGAUACUAUAUAUAUUAAAUCCAUAAGCUAUAAAUUUCCACCAACAUAGUUAAUUAGAUAUAAAGAGAUGGCAAAGUUUUCAUUCAAUUUGUUUAUAUUUGCUGUCAUCUUAAUCUUUGCAACUCGUUAGUUUCUUCCUAUGCAGCUCUUUUAUUUCCUUUGGUAUAAAUAUUAUGUUUUUGUUUAAUUUAACACAAGGGAAUUUUUGUUGCAGACUCAGAGAUGAUGGCGGAGGCAAGAGGACCUGUUAUUUCGUGUAGAUGCAGCAAAACCGAAGACUGUCAGGGUAUUUGCGCCGUGUGCCCCAACUAUAGCUGCAUUAAUAACCUUUGUACUUGCCUUUCAAACGCACCUCCAUUUCCAUAGUCUUAGAAUCUACACACUCCAACAGUUGAAUGAAAUGGUGGGAUUUUUUUGUGUAAUUUGAAAUAAAUUAUCAUGCAAUGGAUCUAAUAAGAAAAAAUAUUGUAAUUGUUGUAAUUUUAAUUUUCUUUUUACCCUUCUCUGCGCCUCCCCUCCCCCUUUCUAGUAGCGAAAAGUAUGUUACAUUUCAAAUAUAUAAAAAGAGUUACAAUCUUGUUUUAAAACUAAAAGAAAUAACAGUAAGAACAAAAGAUAGGAGAAAAAUUAAGACACAAAAUGAGAUGAUAAUUCUUCUUUCUACUUGUAUCUCAUAAGCUUGUAUAUGGCUUCAAUCUAUAGGGCUUCAACAAUGAUAGGCUAAAAAUAAUAUAAAUAGGAAUUUCAAAACUCGCAAUAACUUGAAUGGGUAUUUCAUAAGUUUCAAAUUCCACCGUAUUCUUUUGGUGGGGACACUUUGUUAAUUUAUUAACAACACUAUGCACUAGAUGUGUAUCAAAUGGAAACGUGCUCUGUUAAAACUUUAUUAGAAAAAAUUGCAUAAGCACCUAUUAUAAGCUAAAACAUAAAAGACAUUUCAUGGGAAAACUUAGCUGGACAAUACCUUGGGUAAAGGAAAGAGUAAACAUGUUUUAGACUCUCCCUAAUUUUAAAAAUAUUGAAACAUGGUACAAAUUUUGAAACAAUUUUUAGUUGCUAAAUACUUCGUCAAGGAGAACCAUACUAUGAAGACAUGCCUUUUUAAUUACAAUGAUAACCAUUGAGUUUCAUUGUAUACUCUAGGUUCAUUUGCCAAUAACUCUUUUGCACAUCAUAAUAUAGGUGGGGGCGAAUAAAACUUUAAAUUAAGCGACAUUAAUACAUGCAUUAAAGCCUCCAUUAAUUUCUUAGAAGUUUAUUUUUAUGUCCACAAUCAACAUUUUUCUUAUGCGGACAUGAGACCUUGCUAUUGCAUAUGACUUAAGGAAAACUGUAUAUUAAAUUUAGCCUCCUGGCUUUGUAGAUUUCUACAGCCUAUCUCUCUUUCUUACUCCGUUGCAAGGAUGUUCAUGUAGACCACCUGAUAGAUAGUUGUAUGGUUUCUUUAUUUUUAUUGAAACACAUAUCGAGUCUUUCUUGACAUCACUGUGACUUUAAUAGUCAUUACCAAUAUGGUUUGACUCUUGCAGGUUUUGAGUACAUUGGCGUGUCAUUCGGCCCAAUUAAAGGCUAUUAUUGUUGUUUCAAUUUGAGAUCGCUCUCUUCUAGUUUUUCUUCUUCUUUUCUCAUUUUGGUUUCCUACCCUUUAUAUGCUUGUUGUAGUAUUUUUCCUUAAGUUAAUUUUGGAAAUACAUAGAAUCUAUUGAAUGGAGUGCCAUUAAUCUUAUCAACAUUAUAUCUCAUCAUCUUCUUGCUUGUUUUUAGGAUCUUCAUGGCCAUGGUUAGACAAGAGUUUAUCUAUCUUGUAACACUUAUUUUGGGACAUGCAAUGUGCACAUUUUCUAUAAGUCCUACACUUUUACCUGUUGUUUCAAUGAGGCCAUCUUUAGGUAUUUCCCCCUCUAUUUAUUUCAUUAGUCAAAUUGGAUGUACUUUUAUGAACUUAAAUCAAACAAUCACUUUUUGCGUUUUUGUAACCUCUCUUUUCAGGUCUGAUAACAUCGAUCAAGAAGUUGAGCUCCUCCAUGGAUAGCAUUGGUUGUUUGUUUCCAUUUAUUCACAAUCUCUUGCAACAAAUUUUGACAUUUUAACUGUAGUGAUAGUUUUAUUAGCCUUGUAGCGAGCCCAAGAUACCAACUGCUCCCACCCAUGAUUUUGAAUUUUAAAUACUUUAUUUAAAUGAUUUUGAUGUUUAGAAAUUUAAAAAAUAAACUAAUUUUCUUUUAGGUGAGAAUUAACCAAAAAUUGGUAUUGCCUAUCCAUGAACCUCUUACCUCAAGUUGGUCUGGACUGUGAGGUCGAAAGAUAGGUAGUUGUUGCCAACUCAUUAGUUUAGUGGAAGAUCGAGAGAUCCUACUAGGUUAGCGACUAAUUGAUUGAGUAGAACCAAAAAUAGGAUUUAGUUAUGACCACUGAAGCGAGCUAAUCACUCAUGCUUAGAUUUUAUUGAAUCAAAUAUUACUUCUCCAUCUUUUUUAUUUUAUGCAAGCUUAUUUCUUUUCUUAUAAAAACAACUAUUUUUCACUUUAUGAUCAUCGUACUAUAAUUUAUUUAAGUUACUAAUUAGAUCUAUUUGCGUUUAGGUUAAUAUUAAUUUAGUACUUGUCUCCCUUGGGUACGAUCCUCGAGUACUCACCUACUUCGUUGUAAAACUAUAUUACAACCUGACUCGUAUACUUGAGGACACUGCCUCAAUUCAAUAUAUACUUUUAGCAAUAUUCACACUCUAGAUUCUAGUACGUCCGAAGGCGGUCACUUUCCAAAGUGGCGCGUAGUUUAUCUGCAAAUCAGUGGUGGCUCGUCUACAAUCCGGAGUGAUAUGUUAGACGAGUUCUGGGGAAUUCAUACGUGAGGUGUGUAGCGGAGUUGGGUAGGACUUUUCUGUUAAUUUGAAACUUCAAUGCAUUCAUAAGCACGUGCAUAUAAAAUUGUGAAUACCAAUAUAGUGAAGUGAAGCGUUUUAUGUGAAAAACAGUUAAUCUGAGGUGCUUUGUGGUUGUCUUUAAUCUCAGGAUUGCUAAUUCAUGUGCCUUAUUGGUUUGUUGUUUUAUUUUGAUUUUCUUGUGACUGAACUCACAUUGAGCUUCAUAGCUCACCGCCCUUUAGUUCCCAUCCUUAUAGAUAACCCACCAGGUUGGGAUGCGACAUAUGAAGGGUCGAAAAAGUUUUAAUGUUAUGAAAGUAUUGUUAUGCUUAUUUUAAAAUUUAUGUUAUUUCGGAACUGUACUCUAUUAUUUAUUUUCUAGCAUUGGAUUCAUAUUUAGGUUUUGGUUUUAUAUUGCAAGCAUGACAUAUAAAUUGUUGUUUUUAAGAUGAUGAAAUAAGGAUUUCAAUUAAAUAUGCAUGAAAUAUAGAUGUUAGUAAAACUCAUGAAAAGCCAUUUUUCCGCUGAAAGGUCAUAAUUAAAUUUUGUCUAAUAACUACAAUAUAACUAUGUUUCCAAUAGUUAUCACAUUUUACAAGAAAAAUAUUAGUUUAAUUGUAUUUUAUAUACCCAUGAUUUGUUUUCUAAAAAUAGACACAGUCUUUGUAAGGAUAAAAAAAUAUUUUAAUGUGCUAUUUAAAAUCUUCGAUUGCACUAGGCCAUCACGGUGGCCGAUGUAAUCUCCCGAACUCGGGCCUACCGUCUAGGCCAAUUUGGGGAGGUUACAAUUUCAAUGCCAUAAAGUACUAAAACCAUAUUUUCAAUCAUCUUCAGCAUUGAUUAUUUCAUAUUGAUAUGAGUUGAAUUAAAAUAUUUAAUUUGAACUUAUAAAUUUAUCAUAUUUAAGGGGAAAAAAAGUGGUUUUACUUCAAACAAAAAGAAGAGAUAAAUUGUUACCAACUAAAUUGAUGAACAAGAAUUUGAUAUGAUAUAUACGUGAAUACAAUAAAAAUACAUUAAUUGCGCUACAAUUGUGUAUAAUAUCCUUUUUAUUUAGUUAUAUUGUGUUUGUACAAAAUUUGUAAAGAUAAAAUACUAUGCAUCAAAUAUGUUCAAUUCUAAUUCUAAUUCUAAUUCUAAUUCUAAUUCCAGUUCCAAUUUGAGUUUGAACUUGAUUUGGAACACAAAAAUUGAGCAUGAUGCCAAGUAUGAGAAUCCAACUCAAGUCUUAUCAAAUAAACAAGCCUAAAUAAAUCUAGUAAAGCUAAUUAAAGCAGUUUAAUCUUUAUCUCGUAUCAAGUUUAUAUUUUAAAAGUUAAACUCAAUGAAGUUAUAUUGGAGCAUUCAAUUCUCUAGGUUUCUUUGGAGAUUGAGAUUGAAUUUCUUGGCUCAGUUCAACCCCAUUAAAUAACUUUAAAUUUUUUAUUUUGAUACAAUAGUUAAUAUUGUUUCCAAACUCAUAUAACUGGUUGUGUAGGAAGGGGUCAGGUUUUUUUGUGUGCUUUCUCUCACUACUAUCUCCAAAAUUUUAAUGCUUUUAGUAUUUUAAUAUUUGAAAAUUAUUAAAAAAUUUGUCUAGCAAGAAAAAUAUAAUUUAAUCUUUUCUUCUCCUAGACCACAAAAAAAAAAUUGGAACAUAUUUCCCAUUUGUUUCUAAACGGUUGGACUAAUAAUCAACUUAUUGGCAUCAUGCAUUCCAGAUUUGGUAACAUUAAUUUCCAUGACUACACUUAGAACAAAAUAAUGAUAAUUAGUAAACAAAAUCCCCAUCAAUCUUCUCAAGGAUGUUUUGCUGAUAUACUUUCCUUUUAGACAUAGUUUCAUAAGGAAAAAAAUAAAAACGUAAUAAUCUCAAAGAAUCCAAAGAAAUUAGUAUUCCUCCAUGCAACACAAAAUAAGAUACUAUAUAUAUUAAAUCCAUAAGCUAUAAAUUUCCACCAACAUAGUUAAUUAGAUAUAAAGAGAUGGCAAAGUUUUCAUUCAAUUUGUUUAUAUUUGCUGUCAUCUUAAUCUUUGCAACUCGUUAGUUUCUUCCUAUGCAGCUCUUUUCUUUCCUUUGGUAUAAAUAUUAUGUUUUUGUUUAAUUUAACACAAGGGAAUUUUUGUUGCAGACUCAGAGAUGAUGGCGGAGGCAAGAGGACCUGUUAUUUCGUGUAGAUGCAGCAAAACCGAAGACUGUCAGGGUAUUUGCGCCGUGUGCCCCAACUAUAGCUGCAUUAAAAACAUUUGUACUUGCCUUUCAAACGCACCUCCAUUUCCAUAGUCUUAGAAUCUACACACUCCAACAGUUGAAUGAAAUGGUGGGAUUUUUUUGUGUAAUUUGAAAUAAAUUAUCAUGCAAUGGAUCUAAUAAGAAAAAAUAUUGUAAUUGUUGUAAUUUUAAUUUUCUUUUUACCCGUCUCUGCCCCUCCCCCCCUUUCCAGUAGCGAAAAGCAUGUUACAUUUAAAAUCUAUAAAAAGAGUUACAAUCUUGUUUUAAAACUAAAAGAAAUAACAGUAAGAACAAAAGAUAGGAGAAAAAUUAAGACACAAAAUGAUAUGAUAAUUCUUCUUUCUACUUGUAUCUCAUAAGCUUGUAUAUGGCUUCAAUCUAUAGGGCUUCAACAAUGAUAGGCUAAAAAUAAUAUAAAUAGGAAUAUCAAAACUCGCAAUAACUUGAAUGGGUAUUUCAUAAGUUGCAAAUUCCACCGUAUUCUUUUGGUGGGGACACUUUGUUAAUUUAUUAACAACACUCUGCACUAGAUGUGUAUCAAAUGGAAACGUGCUCUGUUAAAACUUUAUUAGAAAAAAUUGCAUAAGCACCUAUUAUAAGCUAAAACAUAAAAGACAUUUCAUGGGAAAACUUAGCUGGACAAUACCUUGGGUAAAGGAAAGAGUAAACAUGUUUUAGACUCCCCCUAAUUUUAAAAAUAUUGAAACAUGGUACAAAUUUUGAAACAAUUUUUUGUUGCUAAAUACUUCGUCAAAGAGAAUCAUACUAUGAAGACAUGCCUUUUUAAUUACAAUGAUAACCAUUGAGUUUCAUUGUAUACUCUAGGUUCAUUUGCCAAUAGCUCUUUUGCACAACAUAAUAUAGGUGGGGGCGAAUCAAACUUUAAAUUAAGCGACAUUAAUACAUGCAUUAAAGCCUCCAUUAAUUUCUUAUAAGUUUAUUUUUAUAUCCACAAUCAACAUUUUUCUUAUGCGGACAUGAUACCUUGCUAUUGCAUAUCACUUAAGGAAAACUGUAUAUUAAAUUUAGCCUCAUGGCUUUGGAGAUUUCUACAUCCUAUCUCUCUUUCUUACUCCGUUGCAAGGAUGUUCAUGUAGACCACCUGAUAGAUAGUUGUAUGGUUUCUUUAUUCUUAUUGAAACACAUAUCGAGUCUUUCUUGACAUCACUGUGACUUUAAUAGUCAUUACCAAUAUGGUUUGACUCUUGCAGGUUUCGAGUACAGUGGCGUGUCAUUCGGCCCAAUUAAAGGCUAUUAUUGUUGUUUCAAUUUGAGAUCGCUCUCUUCUAGUUUUUCUUCUUCUUUUCUCAUUUUGGUUUCCUACCCUUUAUAUGCUUGUUGUAGUAUUUUUCCUUAAGUUAAUUUUGGAAAUACAUAGAAUCUAUUGAAUGGAGUGCCAUUAAUCUUAUCAACAUUAUAUCUCAUCAUCUUCUUGCUUGUUUUUAGGAUCUUUAUGGCCAUGGUUAGACAAGAGUUUAUCUAUCUUGUAACACUUAUUUUGGGACAUGCAAUGUGCACAAUUUCUAUAAGUCCUGCUCUUUUACCUGUUGUGUCAAUGAGGCCAUCUUUAGGUAUUUCCCCCUCUAUUUUGUUUCAUUAGUUAAAAUCAACCAAUCACUUUUUGUGUUUUUGUAACCUCUCUUUUCAGGUCUGAUAACAUCGAUCAUGAAGUUGAGCUCCUCCGUGGAUAGCCUUGGUUGUUUGUUUCCAUUUUUUCACAAUCUCUUGCAACAAAUUUUGAGAUUUUAAUUGUAUUGAUAGUUUUAUUAGCCUUGUAGCGAGCCCAAGAUACCAACUGCUCCCACCCAUGAUUUUAAAUUUUAAAUACUUUAUUUAAAUGAUUCUGAUGUUUAGAAAUUUAAAAAAUAAACUAAUUUUCUUCUAAAUUUUAUUACUUAGCGAUCCGCUGCUUGGGAGCGGAAGAACUUAAACCCUAGGCCAUACAAGACUAAGAAGUCAUCUAGGUGAGAAUUAACCCAAAAUUGGUAUUGCCUAUCCAUGAACCUCUUACCUCAAGUUGGUCUGGACUGUGAGGUCGAAAGAUAAGUACUUGUUGCCAACUCAUUAGUUUAGUGGAAGAUCGAGAGAUUCUACUAGGUUAGCGGCUAAUUGAUUGAGUAGAACCAGAAAUAGGAUUUAGUUAUGACCACAAAAGCGAGCUAAUCACUCAUGCUUAGAUUUUAUUGAAUCACAUAUUAGUUCUCCAUCUUUUUUAUUUUAUGCAAGUUUAUUUCUUUUCUUAUAAAAACAAUUGUUUUUCACUUUAUGAUCAUCGUACUAUAAUUUAUUUAAGUUACUAAUUAGAUCUAUUUUCGUUUAGGUUAAUAUUAAUUUAUUACUUGUCUGCCUUGGGUACGAUCCUCGAGUACUCACCUACUUCGUUGUAAAACUAUAUUACAACCUGACUCGUAUACUUGAGGAUACCGCCUCAAUUCAAUAUAUACUUUUAGCAAUAUUCACACUCUGGAUUCUAGUACCUCCGAAGGCGGUCACUUUCCAAAGUGGCGCGUAGUUUAUCUGCAAAUCAGUGGUGGCUCGUCUACAAUCCGGAGUGAUAUGUUAGACGAGUUCUGGGGAAUUCGUACGUGAGGUGUGUAGCGGAUUUGGGUAGGACUUUUCUGUUAAUUUGAAACUUCAAUGCAUUCAUAAGCACGUGCAUAUAAAAUUGUGAAUACCAAUAUAGUGAAGUGAAGCGUUUUAUGUGAAAAACCGUUAAUCUGAGGUGCCUUGUGGUUGUCUUUAAUCUCAGGAUUGCUAAUUCAUGUGCCUUAUUGGUUUGUUGUUUUAUUCUGAUUUUCUUGUGACUGAACUCACAUUGAGCUUCAUAGCUCACUGCCCUUUAGUUCCCAUCCUUGUAGAUAACCCACCAGGUUGGGAUGCGACAUAUGGAGGGCUCGAAAAAGUUUUAAUGUUAUGAAAGUAUUGUUAUGCUUAUUUUAAAAUUUAUGUUAUUUCGGAACUGUACUGUAUUAUUUAUUUUCUGGCAUUGGAUUCAUAUUUAGGUUUUGGUUUUAUAUUGCAAGCAUGACAUAUAAAUUUUUGUUUUUAAGAUGAUGAAAUAUGGAUUUCAAUUAAAUAUGCAUGAAAUAUAGAUGUUAGUAAAACUCAGGAAAAGCCAUUUUUCCGCUGAAAGGUCAUAAUUAAAUUUUGUCUAAUAACUACAAUAAAACUAAGUUCACAAUAGUUAUCACCUUUUACAAGAAAAAUAUUAGUUUAAUUGUAUUUUAUAUACCCAUGAUUUGUUUUCUACAAAUAGACAGAGUCUUUGUAAAGAUAAAAAAUGUUUUAAUGUGACUAUUUAAAAUGUUCGAUUUCUCUAGGCCAUCAUGGUGGCCGAUGUAAUCUCCCGACCUCGGGCCUACCGUCUAGGCCAAUUUGGGGAGGUUACAAUUUCAAUGCCAUAAAGUACUAAAACCAUAUUUUCAAUCAUCUUCAGCAUAAAUUAUUUCAUAUUGAUAUGAGUUGAAUUAAAAUAUUUAAUUUGAACUUAUAAAUUUGCCAUAUUUAAGGGGAAAAAAAGUUGUUUUACUUCAAACAAAAAGAAGAGAUAAAUUGUUACCAACUAAAUUGAUGAACAAGAAUUUGAUAUGAUAUAUACGUGAAUACAAUAAAAAUACAUUAAUUGCGCUACAAUUGUGUAUAAUAUCCUUUUUAUUUAGUUAUAUUGUGUUUGUACAAAAUUUGUAAAGAUAAAAUACUAUGCAUCAAAUAUGUUCAAUUCUAAUUCUAAUUCUAAUUCUAAUUCUAAUUCCAGUUCCAAUUUGAGUUUGAACUUGAUUUGGAACACAAAAAUUGAGCAUGAUGCCAAGUAUGAGAAUCCAACUCAAGUCUUAUCAAAUAAACAAGCCUAAAUAAAUCUAGUAAAGCUAACUAAAGCAGUUUAAUCUUUAUCUCGUAUCAAGUUUAUAUUUUAAAAGUUAAACUCAAUGAAGUUAUAUUGGAGCAUUCAAUUCUCUAGGUUUCUAUGGAGAUUGAGAUUGAAUUUCUUGGCUCAGUUCAACCCCAUUAAAUAACUUUAAAUUUUUUAUUUUGAUACAAUAGUUAAUAUUGUUUCCAAACUCAUAUAACUGGUUGUGUAGGAAGGGGUCAGGUUAUUUGUGUGCUUUCUCUCACUACUAUCUCCAAAAUUUUAAUGCUUUUAGUAUUUUAAUAUUUGAAAAUUAUUAAAAAAUUUGUCUAGCAAGAAAAAUAUAAUUUAAUCUUUUCUUCUCCUAGACCACAAAAAAAAUUGGAACAUAUUUCCCAUUUGUUUCUAAACGGUUGGACUAAUAAUCAACUUAUUGGCAUCAUGCAUUCCAGAUUUGGUAACAUUAAUUUCCAUGACUACACUUAGAACAAAAUAAUGAUAAUUAGUAAACAAAAUCCCCAUCAAUCUUCUCAAGGAUGUUUUGCUAAUAUACUUUCCUUUUAGACAUAGUUUCAUAAGGAAAAAAAUAAAAACGUAAUAAUCUCAAAGAAUCCAAAGAAAUUAGUAUUCCUCCAUGCAACACAAAAUAAGAUACUAUAUAUAUUAAAUCCAUAAGCUAUAAAUUUCCACCAACAUAGUUAAUUAGAUAUAAAGAGAUGGCAAAGUUUUCAUUCAAUUUGUUUAUAUUUGCUGUCAUCUUAAUCUUUGCAACUCGUUAGUUUCUUCCUAUGCAGCUCUUUUCUUUCCUUUGGUAUAAAUAUUAUGUUUUUGUUUAAUUUAACACAAGGGAAUUUUUGUUGCAGACUCAGAGAUGAUGGCGGAGGCAAGAGGACCUGUUAUUUCGUGUAGAUGCAGCAAAACCGAAGACUGUCAGGGUAUUUGCGCCGUGUGCCCAAACUAUAGCUGCAUUAAAAACAUUUGUACUUGCCUUUCAAACGCACCUCCAUUUCCAUAGUCUUAGAAUCUACACACUCCAACAGUUGAAUGAAAUGGUGGGAUUUUUUUUGUGUAAUUUGAAAUAAAUUAUCAUGCAAUGGAUCUAAUAAGAAAAAAUAUUGUAAUUAGGGUAAUUUUAAUUUUCUUUUUACCCGUCUCUGCCCCUCCCCCCCUUUCCAGUAGCGAAAAGCAUGUUACAUUUAAAAUCUAUAAAAAGAGUUACAAUCUUGUUUUAAAACUAAAAGAAAUAAUAGUAAGAAGAAAAGAUAGGAGAAAAAUUAAGACACAAAAUGAUAUGAUAAUUCUUCUUUCUACUUGUAUCUCAUAAGCUUCUAUAUGGCUUCAAUCUAUAGGGCUUCAACAAUGAUAGGCUAAAAUAAUAUAAAUAGGAAUAUCAAAACUCGCAAUAAAUUGAAUGGGUAUUUCAUAAGUUGCAAGUUCCACCGUAUUCUUUUGGUGGGGACACUUUGUUAAUUUAUCAACAACACUCUGCACUAGAUGUGUAUCAAAUGGAAACGUGCUCUGUUAAAACUUUAUUAGAAAAAAUUGCAUAAGCACCUAUUAUAAUCUAAAACUUUAAAAACAUUUUCUAGGAAAACUUAGCUGGACAAUACCUUGGGUAAAGGAAAGAGUAAACAUGUUUUAGACUCCCCCUAAUUUUAAAAAUAUUGAAACAUGGUACAAAUUUUGAAACAAUUUUUUGUUGCUAAAUACUUCGUCAAAGAGAAUCAUACUAUGAAGACAUGCCUUUUUAAUUACAAUGAUAACCAUUGAGUUUCAUUGUAUACUCUAGGUUCAUUUGCCAAUAGCUCUUUUGCACAACAUAAUAUAGGUGGGGGCGAAUCAAACUUUAAAUUAAGCGACAUUAAUACAUGCAUUAAAGCCUCCAUUAAUUUCUUAUAAGUUUAUUUUUAUAUCCACAAUCAACAUUUUUCUUAUGCGGACAUGAUACCUUGCUAUUGCAUAUCACUUAAGGAAAACUGUAUAUUAAAUUUAGCCUCAUGGCUUUGGAGAUUUCUACAUCCUAUCUCUCUUUCUUACUCCGUUGCAAGGAUGUUCAUGUAGACCACCUGAUAGAUAGUUGUAUGGUUUCUUUAUUCUUAUUGAAACACAUAUCGAGUCUUUCUUGACAUCACUGUGACUUUAAUAGUCAUUACCAAUAUGGUUUGACUCUUGCAGGUUUCGAGUACAGUGGCGUGUCAUUCGGCCCAAUUAAAGGCUAUUAUUGUUGUUUCAAUUUGAGAUCGCUCUCUUCUAGUUUUUCUUCUUCUUUUCUCAUUUUGGUUUCCUACCCUUUAUAUGCUUGUUGUAGUAUUUUUCCUUAAGUUAAUUUUGGAAAUACAUAGAAUCUAUUGAAUGGAGUGCCAUUAAUCUUAUCAACAUUAUAUCUCAUCAUCUUCUUGCUUGUUUUUAGGAUCUUUAUGGCCAUGGUUAGACAAGAGUUUAUCUAUCUUGUAACACUUAUUUUGGGACAUGCAAUGUGCACAAUUUCUAUAAGUCCUGCUCUUUUACCUGUUGUGUCAAUGAGGCCAUCUUUAGGUAUUUCCCCCUCUAUUUUGUUUCAUUAGUCAAAUUGGAUGUACAGUUAUGAACUUAAAAUCAACCAAUCACUUUUUGUGUUUUUGUAACCUCUCUUUUCAGGUCUGAUAACAUCGAUCAUGAAGUUGAGCUCCUCCGUGGAUAGCCUUGGUUGUUUGUUUCCAUUUUUUCACAAUCUCUUGCAACAAAUUUUGAGAUUUUAAUUGUAUUGAUAGUUUUAUUAGCCUUGUAGCGAGCCCAAGAUACCAACUGCUCCCACCCAUGAUUUUAAAUUUUAAAUACUUUAUUUAAAUGAUUCUGAUGUUUAGAAAUUUAAAAAAUAAACUAAUUUUCUUCUAAAUUUUAUUACUUAGCGAUCCGCUACUUGGGAGCGGAAGAACUUAAACCCUAGGCCAUACAAGACUAAGAAGUCAUCUAGGUGAGAAUUAACCCAAAAUUGGUAUUGCCUAUCCAUGAACCUCUUACCUCAAGUUGGUCUGGACUGUGAGGUCGAAAGAUAAGUACUUGUUGCCAACUCAUUAGUUUAGUGGAAGAUCGAUAGAUUCUACUAGGUUAGCGGCUAAUUGAUUGAGUAGAACCAGAAAUAGGAUUUAGUUAUGACCACAAAAGCGAGCUAAUCACUCAUGCUUAGAUUUUAUUGAAUCACAUAUUAGUUUUCCAUCUUUUUAAUUUUAUGCAAGUUUAUUUCUUUUCUUAUAAAAACAAUUGUUUUUCACUUUAUGAUCAUCGUACUAUAAUUUAUUUAAGUUACUAAUUAGAUCUAUUUGCGUUUAGGUUAAUAUUAAUUUAUUACUUGUCUGCCUUGGGUACGAUCCUCGAGUACUCACCUACUUCGUUGUAAAACUAUAUUACAACCUGACUCGUAUACUUGAGGACACCGCCUCAAUUCAAUAUAUACUUUUAGCAAUAUUCACACUCUGGAUUCUAGUACCUCCGAAGGCGGUCACUUUCCGAAGUGGCGCGUAGUUUAUCUGCAAAUCAGUGGUGGCUCGUCUACAAUCCGGAGUGAUAUGUUAGACGAGUUCUGGGGAAUUCGUACGUGAGGUGUGUAGCGGAGUCGGGUAGGACUUUUCUGUUAAUUUGAAACUUCAAUGCAUUCAUAAGCACAUGCAUAUAAAAUUGUGAAUACCAAUAUAGUGAAGUGAAGCGUUUUAUGUGAAAAACCGUUAAUCUGAGGUGCCUUGUGGUUGUCUUUAAUCUCAGGAUUGCUAAUUCAUGUGCCUUAUUGGUUUGUUGUUUUAUUCUGAUUUUCUUGUGACUGAACUCACAUUGAGCUUCAUAGCUCACUGCCCUUUAGUUCCCAUCCUUGUAGAUAACCCACCAGGUUGGGAUGCGACAUAUGGAGGGCUCGAAAAAGUUUUAAUGUUAUGAAAGUAUUGUUAUGCUUAUUUUAAAAUUUAUGUUAUUUCGGAACUGUACUGUAUUAUUUAUUUUCUAGCAUUGGAUUCAUAUUUAGGUUUUGGUUUUAUAUUGCAAGCAUGACAUAUAAAUUUUUGUUUUUAAGAUGAUGAAAUAUGGAUUUCAAUUAAAUAUGCAUGAAAUAUAGAUGUUAGUAAAACUCAGGAAAAGCCAUUUUUCCGCUGAAAGGUCAUAAUUAAAUUUUGUCUAAUAACUACAAUAUAACUAAGUUCACAAUAGUUAUCACCUUUUACAAGAAAAUAUUAGUUUAAUUGUAUUUUAUAUACCCAUGAUUUGUUUUCUAAAAAUAGACAGAGUCUUUGUAAAGAUAAAAAAUGUUUUAAUGUGACUAUUUAAAAUGUUCGAUUUCUCUAGGCCAUCAUGGUGGCCGAUGUAAUCUCCCGACCUCGAGCCUACCGUCUAGGCCAAUUUGGGGAGGUUACAAUUUCAAUGCCAUAAAGUACUAAAACCAUAUUUUCAAUCAUCUUCAGCGUAGAUUAUUUCAUGUUGAUAUGAGUUGAAUUAAAAUAUUUAACUUGAACUUAUAAAUUUGCCAUAUUUAAGGGGAAAAAAGUGGUUUUACUUCAAACAAAAAGAAGAGAUAAAUUGUUACCAACUAAAUUGAUGAACAAGAACUUGAUAUGAUAUAUACGUGAAUACAAUAAAAAUACAUUAAUUGCGCUACAAUUGUGCAUAAUAUCCUUUUUAUUUAGUUAUAUUGUGUUUGUACAAAAUUAGUAAAAAUAAAAUACUAUGCAUCAAAUAUGUUCAAUUCUAAUUCUAAUUCUAAUUCUAGUUCCAAUUUGAGUUUGAACUUGAUUUGGAACACAAAAAUUGAGCAUGAUGUCAAGAAUGGGAAUCCAACUCAAGUCUUAUCAAAUAAACAAGCCUAAUUAAAUUUAGUAAAGCUACUUAAAGCAGUUUAAUCUUUAUCUCGUAUCAAGUUUAUAUUUUAAAAGUUAAACUAAAUGAAGUUAUAUUGGAGCAUUCAAUUCUCUAGGUUUCUAUGGAGAUUGAGAUUGAAUUUUUUGGCUCUGUUAAACCCCAUUAAAUAACUUUAAAUUUUUUAUUUUGAUACAAUAGUUAAUAUUAUUUCCAAACUCAUAUAACUGGUUGUGUAGGAAGGGGUCAGGUUUUUUUGUCUGCUUUCUCUCACUACUAUCUCCAAAAUUUUAAUGCUUUUAGUAUUUUAAUAUUUGAAAAUAAUUAAAUAUAUAUAUUUGACUAACAGGAAAAAUAUAAUUUAAUCUUUUCUUCUCCUAGACCACAAAUAAAAAAAGAAUUGGAACAUAUUUCCCAUUUGUUUCUAAACAGUUGGACAAAUAAUCAACUUAUUGGCAUCAUGCAUUCCAGAUUUGGUAACAUUAAUUUCCAUGACUACACUUAGAACAAAAUAAUGAUAAUUAGUAAACAAAAUCCUCAUAAAUCUUCUCAAGGAUGUUUUUCUGGUUUACUUUCCUUUUAGACAUAGUUUCAUAAGGAAAAAAAUAAAAACGUAAUAAUCUCAAAGAAUCCAAAGAAAUUAGUAUUCCUCCAUGCAACACAAAAUAAGAUACUAUAUAUAUUAAAUCCAUAAGCUAUAAAUUUCCACCAACAUUGUUAAUUAGAUAUAAAGAGAUGGCAAAGUUUUCAUUCAAUUUGUGUAUAUUUGCUGCCAUCUUAAUCUUUGCAACUCGUUAGUUUCUUCCUAUGCAGCUCUUUUAUUUCCUUUGGUAUGAAUAUUAUGUUUUUGUUUAAUUUAACACAAGGGAAUUUUUGUUGCAGACUCAGAGAUGAUGGCGGAGGCUAGAGGACCUGUUAUUUCGUGUAGAUGUAGCAAAACCGAAGACUGUCAGGGUAUUUGCACCGUGUGCCCCAACUAUAGCUGCAUUAAUAACCUUUGUACUUGCCUUUCAAACACACCUCCAUUUCCAUAGUCUUAGAAUCUACACACUCCAACAGUUGAAUGAAAUGGUGGGAUUUUUUUGUGUAAUUUGAAAUAAAUUAUCAUGCAAUGGAUCUAAUAAGAAAAAAUAUUGUAAUUAUUGUAAUUUUAAUUUUCUUUUUACCCUUCUCUACCCCUCCCCCCCUUCUAGUAGCGAAAAGUAUGUUACAUUUCAAAUAUAUAAAAAGAGUUACAAUCUUGUUUUAAA